UCAGGAUGAUGAAGUAAGUGAUGGAAUAGGUUGCCAACUGUAGUUACUCCACUCAGCACAGAAUGGCUGCGGGGAAAUAGAAUCAGACAUGCCCAAAGAAGUCUGCUUAGGGUGAAACAAAUACCUUUGAGGUUUAAAUCAGAAAGGAAGGAGAGACUGUUUCUACAGGUGUCAUACAAAAAUCAACACUGAGCCAAGGAUUAUUGGAUCUCAUAGAACCACGGAGACUUGGCAGUGAAAUUCUUCCAAAGCAUUCCAUCCGUGCAGGCAGACGGUGUUCCUAGGUUUGGAAAUACAAAUCCCAUGGGAAGUCAGCUGAAGACCAUUUUAUGCGUCACUCAUCCUGUUACGAGCCCUGUGCUGUUCUGUCUCUCUAUAGGACUGGCUGAAACCACGACAGUUGUUUAAAAUUUAUGCUCUAACUUUGGAUCACCUAGUUAAUACUCUGACUCUGAUUAUUACCAAAGACAAUGUUCUAUAAAAGAUAUUCUCUAUUAGAAGGAUGCUCCUGCAUUAUUAAUAAAAUCACAGGGAAAAUGCAACAUUUUGGAUGUCACAUCUAAUAAGUUGGCAGUUAAAGAACAGAAACACAGCAAUAAGACUGCGUGGCUACAUUUUCCCAGUACCACCAACUGGGAGUUAAGCUGACUAACAUUUUGAAAGCCCAGCCCAUUUCAUUCACAGCAGGAUGGCAGUGGGUGACUGAUCAUACCCGCCAGCUGGCUAAUGUCAUAAUUAACAAAGUUGCUACUACAUCUGCAAAGUUUAAUCGAAAAAUUUUCCAGUGCUAUGAUGGCAUUGUCACAGAGAUCACAAGGGACACGGAGUCGACUUUUGCUCAAGGUGGAACGACAGAGCUGUGUAGGCAAGAUGAGAAAUUGCAAACUUGUUCGGCCAAAGGAGGCUAAUAAUGAAGGGGCCGGGAAGGAGGCCAGUGCUACCAGGGUUAUCUCACAACCUCAGAUGCUGGAUAAGUCGAAGGAGGCAGAAUUGCUUUGGGAUGACAUUCAGAGAGGCUGGAGUGAUUACUUGGAAGAGAAAAGCCUACCUAUUCUUUCCAAGGUGCAGGAAUAUUCCCCUGACCUGCUCAUCCAAUGGUCCAGUAAUGAAUUACUGGAGACCUGCCUUAGACAAAGAAUGCACUCGGAGCCCCAACACACCUAAAGCCACGCUUUGAAGGAUCUGCCAAGCUCACUUUUAAUCAUAAGAAAGAAAUUACCCACACGGAGUCAGCAGAAAAUGAGAAAGUAGGGCUCGUGCUGUGAAUAAUUCCAGCAAGUGCCAAGGGGCUAGUUGAGGAAUGGCUU